AUUGAACGCUGGCGGCAUGCCUUACACAUGCAAGUCGAACGGUAACAGGUCUUCGGAUGCUGACGAGUGGCGAACGGGUGAGUAAUACAUCGGAACGUGCCUAGUAGUGGGGGAUAACUACUCGAAAGAGUGGCUAAUACCGCAUGAGAUCUACGGAUGAAAGCAGGGGAUCGCAAGACCUUGUGCUCCUAGAGCGGCGGAUGGCAGAUUAGGUAGUUGGUGGGAUACAAGCUUACCAAGCCGACGAUCUGUAGCUGGUCUGCGAGGACGAUCAGCCACACUGGGACUAAGACACGGCACAGACUACUACGGGAGGCAGCAGAGGGGAAUUUUGGACAAUGGGCGAAAGCCUGAUCCAGCAAUGCCGCGUGCAGGAUGAAGGCCUUCGGGUUGUAAACUGCUUUUAUACGGACCGAAAAGCUCUGGGUUAAUACCCUGGGGUCAUGACGGUACCGUAAGAAUAAGCACCGGCUAACUACGUGCCAGCCGCCGCCGUAAGAC
rnacentral:rRNA from 1 species